rnacentral:lncRNA from 1 species
GCAGUGAAACCAGAGAUCAAAUCUUAAUUUAUCUAGAUUAAACCUUUACGGAGGCCUAGAUAUGUAGACCCUCUACUUCUCAUACAUGCCAAAUGCCACAGGAAAGUGGAAUGAACUCCAAUCUAAUUGCCUUCACAAGCCAACCAAAUGAGGGAGAAGAUAUGUUGGUGUGACACCUCACACCAGCAGAUGAGAUGCCCAAGAAGGAUCCACACCCAA